CAGUCGCCGCGGUAAUACGAAGGGGGCUAGCGUUGCUCGGAAUUACUGGGCGUAAAGGGAGCGUAGGCGGAUCGACUAGUCAGGGGUGAAAUCCCGGGGCUCAACCUCGGAACUGCCUUUGAUACUGUCGAUCUUGAGUAUGGGAGAGGUGUGUGGAACUCCGAGUGUAGAGGUGAAAUUCGUAGAUAUUCGGAAGAACACCAGUGGCGAAGGCGACACACUGGCCCAUUACUGACGCUGAGGCUCGAAAGCGUGGGGAGCAAACAGGAUUAGAUACCCCUGUAGUCCCUGUCUCUUAUAC
rnacentral:rRNA from 1 species